GACAGAGGGUGCAAACGUUGCUCGGAAUUACUGGGCGUAAAGCGCGUGUAGGCGGGCCGGAAAGUCGGGCGUGAAAGCCCUGGGCUCAACCCAGGAACUGCACUCGAAACUUCCGGUCUAGAGUGGUGGAGAGGGAAGUGGAAUUCCUGGUGUAGAGGUGAAAUUCGUAGAUAUCAGGAGGAACACCAGUGGCGAAGGCGGCUUCCUGGACCGAGAUUGACGCUGAUGCGCGAAAGCCAGGGGAGCAAACGGG
rnacentral:rRNA from 1 species